rnacentral:tRNA from 1 species
GAGGGUAUAGCUAAGUGGUAGGGUGCAUGCUUAUCAUGCAGAGUUACUGGGUUCAAGCCCCAGUACCUCCA